CAGCGUUCCAGAUCCAUGGGGUCCAGCGUUCCAGAUCCAUGGGGUCCAGCGUUGGGGUCACAGAGGCAACAGCUCUCGUGGCAGGGAGACAUUCCUGGGGCAGGAAGGAGGGGGAAGAACAAACAACAACCACAACCCAAGCAUACAGCUGUUGUGCAACAGCACGCCCAGAAUCCGGUUUUCCUACAAGAACAAGCCAGACCUGUCCAUUCAAUCCAGCACAGCACAGCCCUCCCCUACCUAAGAAGCAGCAUUAUCAGCUCCCAGACAAGCUACAAGCUCAGAAGCUCAACAUUCAUAACAAAUUCAAAGAGACUCAGUUCAGCAGAGUUGCUCUGCUAAACAGCAUCACUCGCAUCACUCUUCCGUUAUCCUUUCUCCCUUUUCUUACACUUGGCACAGGAAAAAUUAAACAAGUGAAAGGAUGGCAAGCAAGAACAAGUAAUGUUGAAGAUGGGUGGGGAACAAAGACAAGGGCACUGGGAACAAGACCACUGUCUGAGUAGCAUUGCUGUCCCCAGUUUGCUACUCACUAGCUUGGUCUACCUUUCCAUUAUUGUCUUGGAGAGCUGCAGUUUUUAGAAACAGGCAAUAAUGAGAGUCUGAAACUGAGGAGUGUCUAAAAAUAACUUUUCUUCUUACCCAACAAACAAGCGACUGGGGUUUAAAGGCAACUUUUGCAUUUAAAAGUCUGUUAGAGACAUUAAAUGCCAAGCUACUUAUCUUAAUUGUAGCCAAACAUAUUAGAGGCCACAAAAGUUCUGAAAAAAAAAUAAAUCACCUGUAUGAAUUUGUCUUAACUAAUAUGGCAUUGUAUUUCAGGAAAUUCAUAACAAAACAGCAGCCAGGCAUGACUAAGCUUGGGAAUCAGCCCUCGUAAGGAGGACAGUUUACAGGUCAAAGUCAACCCAAGUCUUCACUUCCUCUGCUUCAGCUAUGCAGUAGGAAAGGAACAUGGAAAUUGCAUUGACCUUGUUGACACAAAAAAAUAAUGCUAUUUUUAGCUCCACUGUGGGGAGGGUGGGGACAUAUUUUCUGGGUUAAGGGUGGAUUUUUUAAACUGGAUUAGAAACAGGAGGAAGAGGCAAUUUUAAUCUGGAACUGAAGUACCUACACAUGAAGCUAAUCAGGAACAACUCCAAAUCCUCAUGAAGAAAAAAGGAGAAGUCCCAUCUUCCUGGUUUGUCUUAGCUGUGAAUUGUCCCAGUAUAGAAUCAAAAUAUGCUUCCCCAAAGAGUUCGACUGCAUUACUGCCUUAAAGACAGAGGCUGGAGAAAUAUCAUAGGACCCCAAUAAAACAGUUGUAGAGAAAUAACAUUUCAAU